UUAGGGUUUUGAGGAUGUUGGAGAAGUUGUUGCUGGACAUAUCAAAGGCCCUUUUGAGAGUGGACAUGAGAUGGGGAGGGAGGCCAUUGGUGGUAUGGUAGUGAGGUGGGAGUUCAGGCAAGUCAUCAUGUGGAAGAUGGAGUUCCACAAAUUCAAUGCAAUGAGAAUAUUUUUGGGAGAGUUUAGGCUUGAUGGAGCUGAGAUUUACAGGCGUGGAACAAAUAAAGAUGUGAAAAUUUCUCUUGGUGGUCAGCUUCUUGGCUAGCUCUAGGUAGGGAGAUAUAUGGCCGUGAGCUAGCCAUGGAAGCAUAAGAAUAGUAAGUUUUCUUUGGUCAGAGUAAACCAUAUUUUGUUUUCCUUUCACUCUUUUGCUUGAGGUUGCUCGAUUAUAGGCUUAUUGGUAGUUUUUUUGUAGCUAGCUCUAUGCAUAUAUAUAUAUAUAUACACACACAUUCAUGGGAAAAGAGGCUUGGGGAUGGGAAAUCAAUUGAUUUCCUAUGUUUGGUAAAGUUCGGGUAUGAGAAAUCGUUGCUUUGCACAUGAGAAAGUAGAGGGGAAAGUGAAGCCCUCCUCCUUCCUUAGGUUUUGUUUUCCUCCUCAUGGGAAAGUUUGGGAAAAUGAGCUAAUAUUAAAUACAUAUUUUUCAUGACCAUAUUAUCCCCAUUAAUAAUUUAGAAUUACAUAAAUGCAUUCUAUUUUUAUUUGAUUUCAUAUGGGUAUAAUUGAAAAAUUAAACAAAUUUUGUUUUACAUUCCUACACAAACCAAACAUGUGAAAGGAAAUAAAGUGGUAUUUCUUGGUUACUUUCCCAAGAUUACCAAACAUAGGAAAGGAAUCUCUAUUUCCCAUCCCUUAGAAAAUGACUUGGAAAGUAAUUUCUCCUCAAAUUCGUUCCGUGAACCAAACGGAACCUGCAUAAUAGAAGUUCCAAAAAAACACGUGAUGAUUGGAUCAUGCAUAUGUAAGUUCCCGAGUGAUGAUUGGAACAAGUUCCUAAUGAUAAAGACUCGAAACAAGAAUAGUUUAAACUUUCUUCUUUGUUUGGCUUGAUAUAAGACGAAUGCACCAAACAAACCGACUAAUUGCUGGCACAAUAUAAAUUGGGGCUACAAUUACCUAAUAAUUAGGUACUAAGGGCUACAAUUACCUAAUAAUAUCAACUUUCAUUAUACAGAUUUGAGAAACAAAAAGUUCAACUUUGAUGACAAGCGAUAUUAAAGGAGGGCGUAAUCAAACUUAGGAUCUUGAGUGUAGAAAUAAAUACUUUUAACAACUUGAGCUACAAGCCUUUUGUAAUAUUAAUGAUAUUUUAAUUAUACGUUUGAAUAGUUCGCUUCCUUCUCUUUUAUUUUCAUUUGUUUAUAUUUAACUCUAAUUUUAUUUAUAUUUUUGGUCAAGGUAAAAAGACUUUGAAUCUCUCUCCAAUGAUUUUCACAGCCGAAACUCCUUUAGUUUCCACAAAUAUUUUUUAAUAUUUCAUGCAUUUGUAAGUUUCCGACUCGGAUGGUUCAUGUAACCAAGAAGUUUAAACUUGUUUUUGCUUGUUCCGCCGACGAAAGCGCAACAAAAGGACAAACUACAACCAAUACUUCUAGUAUCACCAGUUCUCAUUGAAUUUGUUGCCGUGAAUGUUUAGGAUUCUGCCCAAACUAGUAUUUGCGUUUCUGAAUUGUUUGAAAACACAUAUGAAAUUAUGAUUUCUCCUCCCCAGAAGACAAAUUGACGAAGAAGUAUCAUGAUUUUGAUGACACAAAUUAGAAUCCAGGGUUUUCGAAGUGCCUAAUGGACAACUAUUAAUUUAGAAAUAUAUAUAUUUUUUUCGCAAUGCAGAAACACAUAAAUCCCAAGUUUGAAUUCAUCCUAUUUUUGUUUUUGUUUUUUCCUUUUUUAACCCAGAAGAAAAAUUGAGUGCCACUCUGCUAUGUAGAAUGCAAGUUUUAGUUUAGAUUUUUUUUUCUUUUUAGUCUCUUAUUCUACAUUUAGAUCUCAUAUAUUUACUCGCAUUUUAUUAAAUCUAAGUCAUUCAAACAAUCUGACCACUUAACAAAUUACAAGUACUCAAACUUAAAAUCAGAUUGGAUGGACAUGAGGCUUACACUGAUGAUUCUACACGUGCUGAGAAUAGUCCUUUUAUUUCUUUAUUAUUUUCUUGGUCGGGACUCGAGAGACAGGUGUAGUGUAGCGAUGGAGACGAGGCCCGCAAGACAUAAAAGUCUGAAGAAGAGAAGCGUGAAAGCUUCAUUUAGACAGUUAAGUGCAUACGUAACGUAAAGAUUCAAAGACUAUGUCCCUCUCCAAACAGGGAAAGAUCUGAGUUGAAAGCAACAAACUACAGUCACAAUAGGAAAGCAUCUACAACGUAAAGAAAAUAAGUUUACCAGAAGCAUCGGAAAGAUCUAGAGUCUGAAGAAGAGAUACUGAAGUAAUUGUUCAUCGACUGAGCUUAAAUGAAAUAUUAACUCUUUGUUGUGCCAUAAGCACAAGAUCUUAAGAAAAAAAUUCAAGAUAAACCAUAUAAUAUUUUCUAACCCACAAAAUAAUAUAGAAAAUAAAUGCAAGAACAAGAGAAUAGCAAGACACAACGAGGCUGCUUACAAUCAGUGUAAAUGAGCAAACAAAUUCACCAUCAACAAAUUAGCAUGCUUAUGAAGUGUUUUGCAACCUCACAAACCAAGGCGCCAUAUACACCAAAUGACUCUCACUGAAAAACUAAACAAAGAAACACACUCACACUAAUGAAAGCAACGUUACAAGGUAGGAGAUUGAAUAUUACAUUUACAAUACACUCAUAAGUUACAAAAACUAAUUACAAAUAUUUAGCGCAUAGGUUACAUAGAACUGAAAGGGUGGAAUGAUAAGAGCUAUGGUGGUCAUCCACCAACUCAUGCAUUUACAACACCGCCUCUUGAAUGUCCACCAUACAAUACAAUGAUAUAGUUGCGUCAUUAAACACUUUGCUUGAAAAACUAUAUGGGACAAAACUUAGGCUACGGGAAAAAGAGUGCAACACAAAUAAUAUUGAUAUCACAUUUGUCUCUCCUACGGAAUGAGCUUUGGUGAUGUUUGUAUAAAAAUUGCGUACAAACCAUUAUUGGAAGAUUGGGCUAGAGUGGGCUUUACCCUAGUGUUGACUUUGGAAAGAGACAAAUUAGGCUUAGUUGUGUAAAUUCAAUCCAAAAAAAAAUUAAAUAAUAGCCCACAUCUACAGCCAAAUACUUUAAUACUUUAAUUACUAAAGUUUUUUUUUCUUUCUCUCUCUUCUUUGGUUUAUUCAGCUUUUGAUUUGGCUCAAAUAAUGUUUAUAUCUCUCUUUGAUUUUGUUUUUUCAAAUUUAUUGAUGUUGCUUCUUUUGAAAAUUUUGAAAUAUGGACCCUCCCUAACUAAACCACUCCAUUGAGCAAAAGCCCUUGAGCUUCAAAUUUAUCUUCGUCUGAGCCUCUGAAUUUUGGUUUUUUUUAGGUUUUUUUUGUUUGUUGUAGGUUUCUUUGUUCACAUAUCUCUCUAAAAAUAGUAUUUUUCUUAAUGAAUUCUGAAAAUAGUUUUUAAUUUGAAGGAAAUAUACGGAAUUAGUAAAAAAGUAUACCACUUUCAUUAAUCUGAAGGAAAUAUUGCUUUAUAUAUAUUUGUUUAAAAAUAGGGCUUAUAAUUGAUCUCAAAAAAAAAAAAAAAACAAAUAGCCCACCCCUGUAAAUAUUCCUUAGUCCGCCAUUGCAUGGCAUAAUAUUUGGUAUGCUAUGCUAGCAUCUCAUAAGCUCUUCAAGAGACCUGAAUUUUAUGAUAACUUCUUAAAAAAUUUGAAUACAUUUCAACGAUAUUAAACUUGAAUUUGAACUCAUAAUUCAAUCAAAGUACUCAUUGAGGCAAUUUAGAUCAUUUUCAUUUUAAAAAAAUUGGGUGCACACAUUGAGCUUCAUGCUCUUUACCUUCUUAGAGAUUUUAUUUGAGGAAUUUAUAUUGCAUCACAUAUUACAUCUCUUAGGAUUUGUUCUUAUUAUGUAUUCUUUAAGAGAUCUAUUCUUGCAAUAUGCUUCAAACACUUCAUAAUCUUUAUGAAUUUUUCAUGUAGAUUUAAGGUCUCCAUGAAUAUUGAGAUUGAAACAAGGAGUAAAAGAGUUAAAAGUUUAAGAAAUUUUUUCCCUGAUUAUUUUGUAAUUAUAAUGUUGGUGAAAAUCCAAUUUCCUUUCUAGAAUUUGUGAAAUUUGUUAUUUGGCUAAGCUAAAAGUAUAAUUUUGACAAUAAAAAGCAUAUGAAAGUUUCUCUUUGGUUGGCUUCUUGGCUAGCUCUAGGAACGGACAGUGUGGCCAUGAGAUAACCAUGGAAGUAUAAUAAGAAUGCUUGGAUGCUGUGAACAAUCCAUUUUCUGACUCUUUUUCUUGAGGUGGUUGUUUUCUUAUGGCCCAUCAGAGUUUAUGGUCGACAGAUAAGCUUCAAACACAUGCAUUGGUCGUGUCAGUUGCGAUAAACUCUUCCCAACAAUCAACAAUUUCUAAGGUAAUAUCAUCAUUCAAUCAUGUGCUGAAUUUAGAAUUGUUUUCAAAUCAAGGAUUUGUUUUGGAACUCAGAUUUUAAAACAAUUAAAAUUUAAUUGGGAAGACUUUUUGUUUAAAGGAAGUUCGUUUCAAUUCAAAAAAUAAUUUUUCAGUUUUUCAACUCAAAAGUCUUCUCAGUUUUCUUAUUUUUCUUAUUGGCGAGUUUCUUGGUUAACUCUAGGAAGGGAGAUAUGUGGCCAUGAGCUAACCAUGGAAGCAUAAGAACGCUGACCAUGCUUGGAUUUUGAGAAGACUUCCUCUUUUUUUUUUCCCUGACUCUUCUUCUUGAGGCGGUGGUUGGCUUAUGGCCUCAUAAUAGUUUGGUGUUUUUGGAGAUCAUAUGGUGAUGAUCUGAUGGAGAUGAGUCAUAGUUUGUGCUAGUGCAUACGUAAUUCCAAUUUCCUGAUUCAGAUGGGAUAAACUCUUCCAACAAAUUAAGACUCUUAUCAUGCAUACACAUAAGAAGUGGAAAUUUGCUUCUGUCUUAGUUUGGCCUUGAUAUAGGACAGCUCAUAGGAAAGCAUCCAAAACAAUAUUCUUUUUAUUUUUUUUAUUUGAAUACAAGCGAUAUUAGGAGUGUGGGGAUUUGAACACAUGAUUUAGGGUACAGGGUAAUGCUCUUAACUAUAUGAGUUACAAGUCCCUUGCAAACAGUCUGAAAUACUAAAAAUAAAAAAUAGAUGCUCAUCCAUAUGCACUGUCAUGCCCCAACCCUUGGAUUUACAAAACCUUGUGUUAAGACGUGAUUCACACCUUAAUUAUAGAAUUUAAUAAAAACUAUAACUAAAAUGUGAAGAAAACAUUUAAAUAAAUAAAAUAAAUAUUUCACAUAGAAUAUUCAGUGGAAAUGACAACAUGUGAAAUCUUAAAAAUUUUACAUUAUCUUACAAGUUGGCGUGACUUGUGGAUAUUGACUUACUUUCCUUACACACCAAGAAUUCCUAUUAUAAUUGUAAUUGAUUUACUUUAAUUCAUGAUUUCCUACUGUAAAUAGAUUUAAGAAUUUAUUAUUUACUUGCCCAUUCAGGUUUCGUUGUAUUAUAAAUAUGACCUCCUACAAGGAGAAGAACAUACAGAAAAUUCCCACAAACAAAUAUUCUCUCAUAGUUUUCAUAUUUUAGCAUGGUAUCAGAGCGGCAAUCUUGGAAUUGCUGACUCUAGUUUCAAACCCCCGCCGCCGCUAUGGGGGUUGAUGAUUUUUUCAACCAUCAUGGAGGUAGCACCAUCGACUCCUUCUCUCAUUCUCAACUAACCAUCGUUGAGUUGAGUGCCCAGAUGGCUCCGCUCCUACAGAUGCAGACUUUGACCCCAAACCCGAUCCAGAAUCAGGAUCUUCUUUCGACAACCACGACCCCGAUCUCGACUAUGACAACGACGACCCCGACCCCUACUCUGAAGAUGACCCCGACCCCCACUCCGAUGACCCCAACCCCGAAUUUGUCUCUGAUUCAGAACCCGAUCCCGAUUUCGACUCCGACUCCGGCCUCGACUCAGGCUCAGAUUUCGAUCCAAAUUCCUACUCAACUUAUAUCCUAUGCAUCUUCCGCUGCACAGAUUAUGACUUCUAGACUAACGACCCCGACAUAUGGACCAGAUUGCACAUAUUGUGGUGAUCCGAGACACACUUGUGAGACUUGUUUUAAAUCGCAUGGCUACCCCGAUUGGUGGGCUAUUCUUACAGAUCAAGGACAAUGCACCAGUAAUGGUACUGGUUAUGGAUUCCAUACUUCCGAUAAGAUUGAUUCCAGGAGCUGGAUAAUUGAUUCUGGUGCAACUGAUCAUAUGACGUUUGAUCCUGAUGAUUUUCUGAAUACUACACAACCUCGACGAACUUGUAUUGCAAAUGCCAAUGGUGUUACUUAUCCUGUGACAGGGGCUGGCACUGUUGCACUCUCAUCCUCUCUCACACUGUCUAAUACUUUACUUGUUCCAUUUUUAUCCACUAAAUUGUUGUUAGUUAGUCAGCUUACUAAACAAUUGAAGUGUUGUGUACUCAUUUACCUGAGUUUUUGUUUGCUUCAGGAUAUUCACACUAAGGAGAUUCUUGGUCGUGGUACUAAGAGAGGGGGGCUAUAUUAUGUCGAUGACUUCAGUUCCGGCGUGCCUAACAGUGUGACACAUCCCUUUGAUAGCAAACAAAAGCAAAUUUGGUUGUGGCACCUUCGAUUGGGACAUCCGUCUUUCAGUUAUAUGAAGCAUCUUAUACCAGAUUUAUUCUUAGGUUUCAAGGACUCCGACUUCACAUGUGAUACUUGUAUUUUGGCUAACAGUCACCGUGUGCCCUACCUGUUGAGUACGAACAAGUGUACUUGUAAGAUCCCACAUCAACCAACGGAGAGGGGGUGAUGUGCCUUAUAUAUGCACACCUGCAUCCAUCUAGCACGAGGCCUUUUGGGAGCUCACUGGCUUCGGAGUCGUAGGAACUCCGAAGUUAAGCGAGUUGGGGGCUAGAGCAAUCCCAGGAUGGGUGAUCCACUGGGAAGUUGCUCGUGAGCUCCUAGAAACAAAACCGUGAGGGCAGAGAGAGGGGCCCAAAGCGGACAAUAUCGUGCUACGGCGGAGUUGAUCCCGAGAUGUGACAAUUUGGUAUCAGAGCCACUCUGCCGUGUGGUGCGAAUGUGCCGACGAGGACUUCGGGCCCUUAAGGGGGGUGGAUUGUAAGAUCCCACAUCAACCAACGGAGAGGGGGUGAUGUGCCUUAUAUAUGCACACCUGCAUCCAUCUAGCAUGAGACCUUUUGGGAGCUCACUGGCUUCGGAGUUGUAGGAACUCCGACGUUAAGCGAGUUGGGGGCUAGAGCAAUCCCAGGAUGGGUGACCCACUGGGAAGUUGCUCGUGAGUUCCCAGAAACAAAACCGUGAGGGCCAGAGAGGGGGGCCCAAAGCUGAUAAUAUCGUGCUACGGCGGAGCCGAUCCCGGGAUGUGACAAUUGUACUACUCCAUUUACGUUAAUUCACUCUGAUGUCUUGGGACCUUCGCCUAUCACUGCUCCUUCUGGUGUUCGAUGGUUUGUCACAUUCAUCGAUGAUUGUAUACAGAUGACAUGGCUUUAUUUGCUGAAGAAUAAAAACGAAGUGUUUUCCCGUUUUCAGUCCUUCCACAAACAGAUGAAAACUCAGUUUAAUGCUCAAAUCCAGAUUCUUCGCUCAGACAAUGGUGGAGAAUUUGUCAAUCAUGACUUUCAGACUUACUUCCAACAACAUGGAAUUAUCCAUGAGACGACUUGUCCUCAGACACCACAACAAAAUUGUGUUGUUGAACGAAAGAAUUGACAUCUUCUUGAAACCGCCCAAGCACUUCUGAUUGGCGCUCAUGUUCCUCGCUAUCACUGGGAUGAUGCUAUUGUCACCGCAGUUCACCUGAUCAACCGCAUGCCUUCUGGUGUAUUGACCUUUAAAACUCCCUUACAGGUGCUUGCGCAACACAGACCUCUGCUCUCUGUUUUGGUACUCACACCCCGAAUCUUUGGAUGUGUGGCUUUCGUUCAUCUCCACAAAAAUCAACGUAGCAAACUUGAUCCCUGUGCGCUUCGUUGUGUUUUUAUAGGUUAUGCCACUCAUCAGAAAGGCUACCGUUGUUAUCACCCUCCUACCCAACGAACCUAUGUCACUUUGGAUGUGACCUUUCUGGAAUCUGAGUUGUUCUUCCAUGACCCAUCAUCCAAUUCUACGCAUCAGGGGGGGAUACGAAGUGAAGAGCAGAAUUGAAGCAACUUGGGAAAUAAAGAAAUUUUCCUCUGUACAGAAAUGAUUAAUCAUCCUGAGUCUGGAGCACGAGAUUACUCUCUGUCGAAAAGCAACCAAUCGCCCAUUCAUAGCGAUCAAUUGCCUCACCUACCUGAUCCAUGUGAAGAUAUUUUUGAUCCGAGUCUCACACCUACAGACAAUACAGAACAACAAGAUGAAGACUCCCCCUCUAACUCAACAGUACCAACAGACCAAUCUCCUGAGAAUAUCCUUGAGGUAACUACUCCUACUAGAUUUGUGCAUUUAAAUGAUUAAACUAUUGGAUAUCAAUUACCUUUCAGGGAAAAUCGUGGGAAGCCAUCAAACCGUUAUGCACCUGAUAUUGGCAAGACAUCCAAGUAUCCAAUUGCAAAUCAUGUAUCCACUGAGAAGCUGUCUGAACAACUCAAGGCUUUUGUGCAUCAGUUGUCUGCGAUCCAUAUUCCAACCAAGGUCUCUGAAGCAUUAAAAUAUCCUAAGUGGGUCCAAGCUAUAAAAGAGGAGAUGAAAGCUCUUGAGAAAAAUCAGACUUGGACAUUAGAGACUAUACCUCGAGGAAAAAAGACUAUCAGAUGUAGAUGGGUGUUUACUAUAAAACACAAUGUAGAUGGAUCUAUCGAGCAAUACAAGGCAAGACUUGUGGAAAAAGGGUACACACAGACAUAUGGUAUAGACUAUGAAGAAACCUUUGCUCCAGUUGCAAAGUCAAACACCAUCAGAGUCUUAUUGUCCCUUGCAGCUAAUUUGGAUUGGCCACUACACCAGUUUGAUGUAAAGAAUGCUUUUCUACAUGGCGUACUCACGGAGGAGGUGUACAUUUACAUUCCUCCUGGAUAUAAUACUACUUAGACUGGAACAGUUUGCAGGUUACGAAAAGCAUUGUAUGGAUUGAAACAGUCACCACGUGCAUGGUUUGGACAGUUCACCAUGGCAAUGAAGAACAAUGGUUCAAACAGUGCAACUCAGAUCAUACUCUACUCUUGAAACAUCGAAAAGGGAAGGUAACAACAUUAAUAAUCUAUGUUGAUGAUAUGAUUAUUACUGGGAAUGAUAAACAGGAAAUAUCACAGCUACAAGACUAUCUGGCUACGGAGUUUGAGAUGAUGGAUCUAGGUGGACUCAAGUAUUUCUUGGGAAUUGAGGUGGCUCGAUCCCAGCAAGGCAUAUUUCUCUCUCAAAGGAAAUAUGUCUUGGACUUGUUGACAGACACAUGAAUGCUAGAUUGUAAACCUGCGAACACUCAUAUUGUUCAGAAUCAUCAUCUUGGAGAAUAUCAUGAUCAAGUUCCAACUAACAAAGAAAGAUACCAAAGGUUAGUAGGAAGAUUGAUCUAUUUGUCACAUACUUGACCAAACAUUACUUAUGCAAUGAGCGUUGUCAGUCAAUUUAUGCACUCUCCAAGUGAAGACCACACGAAUGCAGUUCUUCGGAUACUUAGAUAUUUGAAGUCUGCACCUGAAAAAGGACUUAUUUUCUGAAAGCAUGGUCAUAUAAAUAUUGAUGGUUAUUCAGAUGUAAUGUAACAGAUAGAAAAUCCACAUCCGGUUACUUAACAUUCAUGGGAGGUAAUUUGGUGACAUGGAGGAGCAAGAAACAGAAUGUAGUAGCUUUAUCCAGUGCAGAAGCCGAGUUCAGAGGCAUGACUAAAGGAAUUUGUGAACUUCUUUGGUUAAGAAAGUUGCUUACUGAACUUGGGUAUAAACCUACAUCCACAAUGAUUCUCUUUUGUGACAACAAGGCUGUUAUAGCCAUUGCACAGAAUCCGGUUCAGCAUGAUCGUACUAAACAUGUUGAGGAGGAUCGACACUUCAUCAAACAGAAGCUUGAGGCUAAAAUGUUUCAGUUUUCUUUUGUGAAAUCCGAGGAUCAAUUGGCGGAUAUUUUGACAAAGGUGAUUUCCAGUAAAACAUUCCACAAUUCACUGGAUCAGUUAGGCAUUGGCGAUAUCUAUGCACCAACGUGAGGGGAAGUGUUGGCGUGACUUGUGGAUAUUGACUUACUUUCCUUACACACCAAGAAUUCCUAUUAUAAUUGUAAUUGAUUUACUUUAAUUCCUGAUUUCCUAUUGUAAAUAGAUUUAGGAAUUUAUUAUUUACUUGCCCAUUCAGGUUUCGUUGUAUUAUAAAUAUGACCUCCUACAAGGAGAAUAACAUACAGAAAAUUCCCACAAACAAAUAUUCUCUUAUAGUUUUCAUAUUUUAGCAAGAACUACUCGAGAGUUUACUAAAAGAGUAGUUCAGUAUUCAUCCACAAGCUAUAUACACAAUACACUCUAUAGAUAUGCCAAAAUCAUCGCAAGCUCUAGAUUUUAGGUUCGAUACCUGCAAAAUCUAUUAGAAGGGUGAGUGAAACCACAGUUUAGUAGGGACAUAAACCUUUUCACGGUAAACUGAUAUAAUUAAAUUAAGUGAAAAAUAAUCACACAGCCAAAUAUCACAUUAUUAAUAACAAUGCAUGAAUGCUCUUCAUUUAACCCGUUAAUUCAUAUAAUUAGACAAGCUUCACGACCCAUACCAUGCUUAUACCACUUAGUCCCGAAUGCCAAUUUAUAUGAAUUAACGCCCAUUUCAAUCAUCCCAUAAUUCCCAUUUUGUUAGUCAUCUUGUCUAACUCCCUGUUGCCAGUCCUGAAUCACCAAAAAAAAAAAACCAUGUGCACUAUGGGAUCCCUGAGUACUAGUACCUGGCAAGAGUUAGACUCAACUACACAAAAGAUCAUUUCUAUUACCCUCUUAUCCACCAUUAUUUUCUCAACUUCAGAAUUCUAGCCAAAUUCCAUGACAUGAUAUAAUUAAAAUUAUGCCUUCACAACAAUGUGCCCAUUUAAAACAUCACUAAUGCACAUAUAAUUAUGCCCACAUUGUUCAAAUAGUUAAGAGUACGUAAAUACCCAAUACAUGGAACGUCAAUCAAACAGUACCACGCAUAAUAUAAUGCUCAAGAAAUUUAAUUAAAUCAAUCUCUGUAAAAGGCCCCUAAGAAACCCCUGCCUUGAUACUAAAGCUUUUGCUAGACCUAUAAGGUGUUUUCCAAUUUUCCACCGCAUUCACAAACUCUGUCUUCUACUUUUUUUCUUACUUCUCUCUACCACUAUUUCUUUCUCGUUUUCUUUGUUUUCACUUGUUGUGCAACUUAAUGUCCUAUAUAUAUACAAGGAACAAGUCGGCAGUAAGUGAUUUCCUAUUGGAUGGUGUAUUCGGUUGUUAUAAACUUACUAGUAAUAGUUAUCAAUGUAGUUGCAGAUGAGGAAGAAUGUUUUUGUGACUCUUCCAAUCCCUCUAAUCCUAUUUCUUAUCUUCUUGGUGAGUUGAUAGCCUCGAUACUUAACAGAUUUUAUACUUUGACACGUAUUAACAAGAACUAUUUUAAAAACAUAUACAUAUAUAUAUAUAUAAUAGAAUAUGUAUAUAUGUAAUACACAUAUUUAUAUAUAAUAAGAAUAAUAUAUAUGUAAUAAGAUAUAAAUAUUUAUUAGAACAGUAUAUAAAAUAAUAUAUAUCAUUCUUAUUAUAACAAUAAUUUUAAUUUUCCCAAAAUAAUAUAUAUUUAAAAAUAUGUGGUUUCACAUGCAUGUCCUUUUUGCUAUAGACACUAUUACAAAAAUCGAAAUAGACAACGGAAAACUACCGUCGUCUGGAAAGUUUUCAAACAGUCGUGAAAUCGACUGUCGUCUCUUUUACAUAAAACAACGACGGCUAUUAACCAACGUCGUUAAUACAUUCCACGUAAAAAACUAUUAUAAACCGACGUGUAAUUACUAUAUAUAUAGCCUAAAAUAAAAUCUUCAACAACCUUAGACGACGGUUUUAUUAAAACUGACACGUCUAAAGAGUGUUACAUGUCAAGAUCAAAACAAGAACCGACGUACAGAUAAUUAUCCACGUCCUAAUUGAAGUAAAAUAGACUUGGAUAACCUAGAAACCGUCGUGGUUAACAUAUACUACGUUAAAUUAACAAAGGCACUUACGUCUAAAAAGUAAAAGACAACACGCGCACAAAGCAACAGACGUUUAAAGCUUAGUACAUGUCAAUAGCCGCUCAAUAACCGCAGUAAAAUGAAUUAACCACGUCCCACAUAUGGCAGAACUGUUGCUUAUGUGAUUAUCCACGUCGCGGAGUAGUAGAACAAAGACGUUGUAACCAUAUUCCACGUCUGUUUCUUGUGAGAAUUGUCGUUUAAAUUAUACAAAGAAGCCCCUUUGACAGAGUUAGACGUUGCUCUUGCUGUAGAACCGACUUCUAACAGGUUUAAAAUGACACAAUAUUACUUAAUACUGCCGUAACAAAUCAUAUCCACGACUGCUGUUGUCAAAGACUGACGUUACAAAAAAUAUUGAAGGUGUUGACAAAAAAGAACCGACAUGGAUUAUGCAUUCAACGUCGUGUGGUCUAAAAAUAAAGGACGUGGUUAAUUUUUUCUCUACGUCAAGUGGAUCCAAUUGCCUGAUGUUGUAAUUCUUUACCAUGUUGGUUUUUAAUACAUGAUGAUGUGGUUGUCCUUUUAAAAGUCGCUUGUUUUACCCUCCUUGACGUGUGUAUGAUAUGAGACGUCAAUUGUUUUAGACUAGCUGACGUGCAGAAAAUCUGUCACGACAAUUAAUGCAACUGAAUUGCCUCUAUUUCCCCCAGACGACGGUAGGUUUUAAGUGUGGAAGUAGUGUUUUACAAAAUCGUAAGUUGGAGUAAUCUACCAUCGUGUUAUUCGAGAAUAUACCACGAUCUUUGUUUUGUACUCGGUCGCUGAUGUUUAUACUACUUAAUAAACUGACAUGUUUUCAGUUUCAGACGGCGGCUUUUGUUUCUUUAUGGUCUUUUGCAUUUUUUUUCCAUGACAUUUUUGAAAGCCUAAUGUUGGUUUUAUUUUAGAAAUCGAUUUUUCCCCUUUUUUUACUGGACCGUCGUACUUUACACAUUUAAUCAAUUUUUUUCAAUUUUUGAUUCAUCGUGCCCAAAGCCUACAUAACGAAAAUGUGAUCAGAAUUAAAAUGAUGUACAAAGGUAUUAAUUAAUGUCAUACAAUUAACUGAAUAACUAAUGUCAUACACUACAACAAUCAAUCAAUCCAUAUAUCUUCACACCCAUCUUUAAUAUUUUCACUCCCAAACUCACCCACUAGGUCAUCAUAUGUGUCAACAUUUGGUAUCCCUCUAGUAAAUGUCUCACACUCAAUUCUAAUAUCACCUAGCACAUCAUCACCAAUAACAUUAUUAUAUUCUCUAUUAUGCAUUGAUAACACUACCGACCAACCACGAUGCAUUGGGUCGUCAGCAUAAAAUACUUGUUUUGGUCAUUCCUAUGUCCAAUUUUACUCAAAUCUACAAAGGUGAAUCCAAGUUCAUCGACAACAAGGCCCAAAGUGUUAUCUAUCCAAUCACACCUCAAGACAAGGAUUCUAAACUUUUGGUAGUCAAGGUCCCAAAUUUCUUGAAUAACACCAUAAAAACCCAUAUUGGAGACAAUAGAGUUUUUAUCCUUAGCACUAGCAACUUGCAUAGUAUGUGCAAGUAAAUAAACUCCACUAUUUUGGACAGUUCGCAUAUCAUCUUGUGCCUUGGUGUUAAAUUUAACACCAUUAAUAAGAUAGCUCCUAUAUGAUGGCAUUGCCAUGCUUGGACUAGCUGCUAGCCACCUCAAAUUUUAUGAUACGCCAUUAUGCUCUUCCCCAUUAAGUUCACUUUGAACUUGCAAAUUAAUCGUAUAUAUCCUAAUUCGAUCUAACAUAUAAAAAGGAAGAAAAUUAAAAGUUGAAUAUGUCAUUCAAUAACAUAUAUACUUGAAAGUGUAGCCAUUGAAUGAAAGUGCUAUUGUGCUUAUCUUGCAGCCACUUUGUUCUCUUUCUAAAUAUUGGAUAAGUGGUCUUGAUGUGGAUCAUAUGUUCCAUACAUUGACACGAAAAAAUCAAGCAUUACGGUCCCUUGUAUAUAAGAUAACAUAAGGAAUAAUAAUAUUUAAAAUGGCUCUAUAUGAAAAAUGGAACUCAUGCGUACUCGAUAUAAGGUAGGACUUCCUCAGUAUUCUCCAAGACAUAUAGAUGUGUCUGGUUCAAAAAACCCGAUCACCUAAGCUUACUGUGCAACCAGAUAAUGGCUUUGAAACUCCCAUCUUCUAGCUUGAAGGCACUCCAACUGUACUAACAUCAGAUAAAUGCUCGGUGCAAAACUCUACAACUUCUUCAGCUAUAUACCGCUCAAUAAUGCAACAUCCGGGACGAGUACGGUUCUGAACAAACCUAUUUAGCACUUUCAUAUGUCUUUCAAAUGGAUACAUCCAUCUAAAAUAUACUGGCCCAUGUAGACGAACUUCUCUGACAAGAUGUACUACUAGAUGAACCAUGAUAUCAAAGAAUGAAGGGGGAAAGUACUUCUCAAGCAAACGCAACGUAACUACUACAUCUUCUUCCAAAUUAUCUAGCUUGGAAACAUCUACUGUCUUUGCACAUAUAGCAUUGAAGAAGAAGCACAAUCGAGUUAUUGCAUACCUUGCAGGCUUCUCCAAACAGAACGAAUUGCCACAGGGAGCAAUUGUUGCAUCAAGGCAUGAAAAUUAUGAGAUUUAAGGCCAAGAAGUCUUGAAUAUUUUUAAGAUACAAGAUUUUUUUAUAUUUGAACAAUAACCUUCAGGGACUUUCAUACCAUAGAAAGAAUUGCAAACCGCUCUCUUAUCUGCUCUUGACAAAUUCUAGGGCCUUGGAGGCAAGCGAGUACGUCUUUCUCAAUACUCGGGUUGCAAAUCAUUUUUGACCCCCAUGUUCAAUAAAUCUAACCGAACAGCAAUCUCAUCUUUAUUUUUUCUAGGGAUCUCCAGCAAUGUACCAAUGAUACUAUCGCAAACAUUCUUCUCAAUAUGCAUAACAUCUUGGACAUGCCUCAUAGGAAGGUAUUUCAAAUACUCGAGAUCAAAGAAUUUUGAUUUCUUAUUCCAACAAACUCUGUCACCAUCAUUCUCAAAAACACUUCCCCCAUUUUUCGAGCCCCAUAUGUAAUUAAUAUCUUCAACCAUGUCCUAUUCAAGUUAAUGGUUCGGGAGGCGUGCCAUAUUCAAGUUUUCCAUUGAAAGCUGCACGCUACCUCCGACAUGGAUGAUUGAUUGGUAACCAUUUUUUAUGACCAAUGUAACAAAUUUUGGGGCCAUUUUCAACCUGUGACUAGGUGUAUCAUCGCCGCAUAUUGGACAAGCUUUAUAUCCUUUAACGACACUGUAACACCCCGACUCUAAAUUAAUCCCUUAUUUAAUUAUUUAAAGAAAAUUACAAAUUUACCCUUAAGAUAGGGGUAUUUUGGUCAUUUUCUUACCCGAAGAGAGUUUGGGGCAGUGACUAGUAUUUUUGGAUAGGUCGUACUGAGACGAGUUCAUAGACACGUAGUGGGCUCGAAUCGAAGUUGUAACGAGAGAGAUAUGGUCAAAAGAAACCCAAUUGCACAAUCAUAAUUAUUUCGAAAUGAGAUUUUUAUAAAAAUCAGAUUUUUUUUUCUCUCUCUCUCUCUCUCCUCGUCGGUCUCUCUCCCUCUCCUCGAAACUCCGGCCAUCGGCCACGGCUGUGGACGGGGCCGGUACCAAAAUGACCGAGGCGUUGUCCUCCUCUAAUCCCAGCUAGGUCCCGCCGUCAGCCGCCAUGGUUUCGCCGGAAAAUGGAGAAGAAGCGGCCGGCGUCGUCCGAAGUUCUCCGCCGUUGAUCUCCCUCUUCCGGUCACCGAUUCCGACGAGUGAGGUAUGGUUUCUCACCUACUUUUCAUGCUCUAGCUGCCUGCUGGGUAUGAUUGGAUUGAUUUUUAGCGUAGGCAAUUCGAUUUUCGCAUUGAAAUUCGGCUAAUUUUGGAAUCACGAUUCCGGCUAGUUCUGGUCAGUUUUUGGGGUAGAUCCAAGAACAAAAGUGGCUCCAAAUAGGGUGUUAUACCUAGGGUAGGAGUUUGGAGCCAUGGUUUUGAGAUUUUCCGGCGAUACGUAAUCGCUUUAGACACCCAACGCUGCCCGCACGUGUGGCAGUGCGUGGGCGAGGGUAGUGAAAUAGCACUAUGUCUCGAUGAGAUCCUUAGGUUGUCACGAGUGCGUAGGAUUUCGCGGAUCUCAAUUCGGACGUCGUUUGACUAUCGAACGGAUUUUCGUAUAUUGCGCGUCAUCCGGGUUCGAUAGGUUGGGACCGUUGGAUGGUCUCGAAUAAAAUAUAUGUUAAUCUAGGUAUUUCUAGGAUCAUGUAGGAAUUCACGGAUUAUAAAUCGGAGCCCCGGAUAUUCCGAAUAAAUAAUUUAAAGUUUAUGUUUUAUAAUAACCGUCACAUCGUGCGAUCGUGAGCGAUCCGACCGGCCGAUCUGGACCAAACUUACAGAACGAGUGUCCUAUACCUUGAAGAACCCAUAGGAAUUUUCAGAUCGAAAUUUGGAGGUCGUGGGCCCCGUGGGCCCAUUUGACUAGGGGUAGGGUAGUUUGACCCUUAGUUGACCGUGAGUCUCCCGGAGUAAUCUCACCUUUCCAGGGGGAUUAUCGGGUGCUAGACUGUUGUUGAGGUUUACACGAUAUUAGUAGUAAAUUAUAUAUUUAUAUACAUUUGUAAAGGUAAAAAAUAAGUCCAGAAUGUCAGUUUGAAGUGCUUUACGCACUACCUUAGGUACCUCCCCGGAUUUUAGUUACACUACAAGUACCACCCUAUGAAAGUUAGGUCCCACGUGGCGUAGGUUAUCCGGCGUGCGGACAGGCCCUAUACGUGGCAUUGGUAGUAUCGGUGUAUGGGGAGAUUACGUGAUAAUAUGUUGAGGUCACACGUGGCGUAGGUUAUCCGGCGUGUUGACAGACCCCAUACGUGGCGUUGGUUGUACCGGCGUAUGAGGAGAUAUUGUGAUAUGAUAUUCAGGUCUCGCGUGGCGUAGGUUAUCCAGCGUUGAGACAGACCCCAUACGUGGCGUUGGUUCUACCGGCGUAUAAGGAGUUUAUGUGAUAUUAUGUUGAAGUCGCGCGUGGCGUAGGUUAUCCGGUGUGUCGACAGACCCCAUACGUGGUGUUGGUUGUACCGGCGUAUGGGGAGAUAUGUGAUAUGAUGUGCAGGUCUCGCGUGGCGUAGGUUAUCCGGCGUUGAGACAGACCCCAUAUGUGGCGUUAGUUGUACCGGCGUAUGGGAAGAUAUUGUGAUAUGAUAUUCAGGUCUCGGGUGGCGUAGGUUAUCCGGCGUGUUGACAGGCCCCAUACGUGGCGUUGGUAGUACCGGUAUAUGGGGAGAUUAUGUGAAAUACAGAGAAAUGAAAUAAGGUAUUGCCUAUGUGUGGAAUUGGGUUUUAAGGAAGAACUACGUGUGGCUUGAUCCCUCAGGGAGGGUACGUAGGCAGCCUAAGGUUAUUAGGUGUAGCCGCGGACAUAGACGUGAUUGUGUUAGGAGGUUAAAACCUCGUAUGUUGAAAUUGAGAAAAUUAGAUGAUGUAUGUUGAAAUUUAGUAGUCGUAAUUUAUAUUUAAAUUUAUCGUUUGCCUUGUUUAAGGCAUGAAUUGAUUUGCUAGCAUGCUUGGUAGUUGAGAAUUAUAGAAAGGCCGAAGGCCGUUUAUGUGAAUUGCAUGGAAUUAUAUUGUGCAUGCUGCCAGUUGUAGUUAUUAAAUGUGUUUUUAUGCAGGUUGAAAUUUUGGGAAAUGUCCAAUUUACAGGGGAGACUCUGCCGAAAUUUCGGCAGAAAGUCUCGGUCUUUAGUAAGUGGGCCUGACAUCGAGGUGAUGUCGGGGAAUCCACAGGAUCCGCCUCGAUUUUUGGAAAAAUCGGGGCGGUUCCUUUCAGACACAACCAGAUAAGUUCUCAUAGGCAGAAAAAUCAUUAAUUGUUCACAGUAAUACACCUAUGAGUGUAAAGUAAUCUCCUAUGUGUGCAUCAUACACUCCUUUAAUCCCAUCCCACAAAGAUUUUAAAUCAUCAAUCAGAGGCUCUAAGUAGACAUCUAUAUCAUUUCCAUUCUAUUUAGGACCAGAAAUCAAUAAGGUCAAUAUCAUGAACUUCCAUUUCAUGCAUAGCCAUGGUGGGAGAUUAUAUGUAACUAAGAUAACCAACAAUUGUAUCUGCUACUUAAAGAACUGUGGGGAUUGAAUCCAUCAGAUGAGAGAGCCAAUCUCAAGUUUCUUGGCUCUUUACUGAACUCGGGCCAUUUAUCAUCAACAAGUUUUUAAGACGGGAAAUUCGCUGGAUGAGACAUAUGACCGUCAAUUGCUUUUCUAGCAACAUGCCAAGUCAAACUCUUAGCUGUCAUAUGUGAUUGAAACAUCCUUUUAAACCUUGGAAUUGGAGGAAAAUACCACACCACCUUCGCUGGCACACUCUUUUUCAAGAUUGAAUCUUUGCAUUCCUUCCACCUUGAGAUACCACAAGUAGGACAAUUAGUUGAAUCUUCAUAAUCAUUCCUAUACAAGAUGCAGUCAUUGGGACAUGCAUGGAUAUUCUCAUAACUCAUCCCUAAAGGAGAUAAUGUCUUUUUUGCCUCGUACAUAGAGGAAUAUAGUGUCUUUCCUUCUGGAAGCAAAUCUCCUUGAAGUAUCAAUAAUUCUAUAAAACAAACAUCACUCAUCCCAUGUUUUGCUUUCAAAUUAUAUAACUUCACCAAAGCCGACAACAUCGUGUACUUACUGCAACCAGGGUACAAGGAUUGAUCUCAAUCCCCAAUCACAUUGGCAAACUCAUAAGGAUCAAAUCCAAUAUCGCCUAAAUCAUUAUCAUCCAUCCCUACUUCUUUAGAAACAAAACUGAACCUACUUUGCUCAUCUUCUUCCACAUUUCUACUAGCAUUAGUAGUCAAUUCCCAAGGUUCUCCGUGCCAUGUGCAAAUCUGAUAGCUUUAGUCAAUUCCAUUAAAGUAUAAGUGGUCCCUCAUAAUUCCAACCCCAAACAAUCGAAUAUUCCCACAUUUAACACAUGGACAACGAAUAUGAGUUGUAUUUCCAAGAUUUUCUACAGCAAAAUUCAAAAAUCCUUCCACCCCUAACUCAUAUGCCUUCGGUCUUCUAUCCGCAUGCAUCCAUGACUUAUCCAUCUCACACACUAUAAAAUCAUAUAUAUAAUAAAGUGAAAAGACCAGCAAUGAAACACUACUUUAUUCACAUAGCAAAGAAUGAAUUGAAAAAAAAAAUUAACCAAGAAUCAGACGACGGUUUUUACAAAAAAAAUCGUCCUGUAACAGAGGGUCAGACGACGGCAUAUCUAGUUAUCGACGUCUUUAAGCUACCCAAACCCAGAUAUUUGUAUUGCUUUUUGAAGAACCGGGUUCUGGGUUCUGGUAAACAAAAGAUGACGGUAAAUGGAGAAACACCGACGUAUCCUAAAACUUGAGACGACGGUUUAUUUCACCAACCGUCGUCGUAGUUUACGAAAAACAGAAGUCUAAAUCUCCCAUCCUCAUUCCUUUUCUAAGAACCCUUAACAAAAUGCAAACAUCAAAAUAUAAAAGAGCCAUAUAUAGCUCCCAAUUAAGAAACCAAAGCUACCAAAACAUAUAUUAAUAAACCAAAGCUACCAAAAUGAACGAAAACAUUUAUGGGUUUUACAAACUAAGAGAAUAUUGAGAGAGAGCUGAGAGAAUAUACUUACAUGGAUAUUGAGAGAGAGCUGAGAGAAUAUAACAAAUGCUUGAGAGAGAGCUUAGAGAAUAUACACAAUGCUUUGAGAGAGAGCGAAAAAUUUAAGACAAAUUUAUGUUGAAGAGAGAGAAGGAAAUAUUUUAGGGUUAAAGGGAAAUUCUGAAAAUUUUAGAUCACCGUCAAAAUUUUCAAAGGACCGCGUUUUUCAAAGACGGCUAAGGAAAACUACCGCCAUUGUAAAUCAUUUUACUACGACGGUUGAGGAAAACUACCGCCAUUGUAAAUCAUUUUUAUGUCGCCUCUAUAAAAACCGACGUCUAAAAUAUUAAAUAAUUAGAUUUGGUUUGCAUUUCGUGGGAUUCUAACGUGCGUAAUUGACCAAAAAGAGCGAGAGAAAACCAGCGUCGUUUCUAUAAAACCUAAACCCUAAACCCUAAACCCUAAACUCUAAAACCUAAACACUGAAAAAAUUAACCAAAAAUUGCUAUGGACUCCUUACAACAAUGCCUUCUAUAUUAGUAGGCUAAAAUCGGGAUUAAAUAAUUUUGAAUUUUAUGACCACCAAUGGAUCACAUAAACCUUAGGGUUAUGUUUAUGGAAAGUAUAAGGAUUAUUGUGUUUUGUCUCUAAAUCUUUUUUACUUUUGUUAUCACUUGUAACUUUGAAAUCUAAAAUUAAAAUUUUCAGGCCUUUAGGGGGGAGAUAUUGUCUCAAUGUGUUUAUAGAAUUUGAGACUGCGAAGGUUCUAGCUGAUUGACUAAGGAUGAGGCAGGAUGGAUGGAAGGUUUGCUUGGAGAUUCUACCUUUGUCAGCUCUUCUGGUUGACAUGUUGUUUAUUCUGCCUGAGGAACUACUUCUAGAUUUUUCCCUUUUCUAGCAGAACUAGUCUCUGGAAGUACUUGUGUGUCAUCCUUAUUCUUGAGGAAGACGCAGUAUUGCCUUUGAACUCUCCUCUUUUGCAUUCUGGUUAGCUUCAGAGUUGGUCUUCGGCUUUUUCCAAUAGAAUAUCAUCUACCUUCUAUGAUAGUUGCAAAGGGCUUGUCAUUUCCAGGCAUCUUAACUGGUAUUUCCUUCUUUGGCUGCUCUAUUAUUCUCUUGUUGCGUUGGGCAGGCCUUAAAUAGUCCUUCUGUCUGGCUCUAUCUCUAGGUGGAGCCGGAACUAGGCCUUGUUGGUAUGAUGUUCCAAUCCUGUCAAAAACACAAGGUGUGGGCUGACUUUGCCUAACCAGAGUUACCUCUAACUCACUUUCACAUUUGCACCUGUUGCACAAAACUACCCCAGCCGAAAUGGUUGCUUUUGGUCUUCAAUUAGCCUAUCUUUGGACUCUUCUGCCUAUGCUGGGGCUAACUUUUGCUGUUAGUUUGCCUUUCUUUUGUUUUGGCCAAUUUAAGUUGACCAUGUUGACUUGAGGUUGGGGAAAAGGGUCUGUUGUUAUCGAAUGAGGUUUCUCAGCCAGUUUUAGCCUCCAUGCUGUUAUUCCUUCCUGUAUGACGUCCCUGAAAACAACACAACUAUUGGUGGAAUGGUCCCAGGAGUUAUGCCAUCUGCAAUACUGUCUGCCCUUGAGUUCCUCUAGCUUGGGCAACUUGUAGGGUGUUUCUAUUGCCUUCUGUCGCAGCAUGUCAUCAAACAGGGCAUCAACCUUGGUUAAAUCGAGGGAAUAGACUUUGUUAUGAGCUGGUUUGUUUGGAACAAACCCUCUUGUGAAUGGUGGUGGCUUUUGGUCCUUUGGUGGCUUUGUUAAAGCCUUGCAACUGAUGAGAUGUUUUAAUUUCCCCAUUUCUGCCACUGCAACUUCUCUCUCCUCCGAGCUUUCUAUGCCUUCUUCUGAUUCUACCUCAACAAGAUUUACUGAAGAGGAUGGGGUUUUGUAAUAUGUGCCUUUGAAAGAGUUCCUCUUCUAUUGUUCUUCCCUGAGCAGCUCCUUGUAUUUAGAUGCUUUGUCUGCUAGUUCUGCCAGAUCUCCAAACAGCAUCCCAUCAAAUUUUUUUCUCAGAGAGAUUUUAAGGGAGAUUUGAGCCAUUUGGAUGAAGUGCCCUUCCUCCAUAGGGAUUCAAAAUUUCAUUUUGAGCUUUUUGAACCUGGUUAUGAAGUCUUGGGCAGGCUCAUCUUCCCUCUAUUUCCAGGUUUGAGGGCAGCAAGAUCACUGAUGGUGACUUCUGGCUGAAUCCUAAAAUAGUAGUCAUGGAAGACAUUUUCCAUCUAUUUCCAGGUUUGAACAGAAUUGGCUGGUAAGCUAGUAUAUUAGAUGAAGGCUUGUCCAGAGAGAGAAUUUCGAAAAAGCCUUAGUUUUAACAGAAGGUUAUUUUCUAUGGCUAUGCACUGGAAAGAGAAUCUGCCUAUAUGCUUAACUGAUGAAGCAUGGGUGUCUUCUCCGUUGAACAAGGUGAAGUGUGGUACCUUAAAGCCCAGGGAUAGAGGUAUUUGAUCGAUAUAAGCUGGAUAAGGCUUUCUGUAGGUGGGCCUUUCUCCUCUUCUGGCCUCAGGUUCCAUCAUCUCUCUGAUCAUUCUAUAAAGUGCCCCCAUGUCAUUCAAAGCAUUGACAUGAUGCGGGGUUCGCCCCUGUUCUGGCUAGUUGUGUUCAAUCCUUUGUUCUACUUUAUAUGGCCUGGGCAGAACUUCCUCCCUAUGCUCUUCCUCUUUUUCGAAAUCUGGAUGAUUCCUUUAGUUUGCCCCCGGUCUGUUUUUGUCAUUGUUGGCAAAGGGUUUAACUCCUACUCUACCUCUCAUGCCACUUGCUAGUGGAGGGAAUGGAUUGGGGUCCAUCCUUCUAGGUCUGUAGGGCAACACAACUGGUUGCUCAGGCAGAAGUGCCAAGGCCUGAUCACGUGGGGCCACUAGUUGUGGAAUAGGUGGAGGUUCUGGCUAGUUCUGAGGGGGUCUGAACUGGUGCAGAGCCUUCUGGAUGAACUGAAUCCUCAUGUUCUUGGAUGGGAAGGGCUCCUCCCCUCUGUCCAGCUUGGAUUUCUCCAUGUCCUGGUAUUCCAGCUAUCUGUGUGAUGAGAGGCUUCUCUUCAUAUGGCCAUGCCAGUCCUGGUAGAGGUCCAAAAGGGAGAUCUAGCUGCUGGACCACCAUGUCUAGGUUUGGAAUUUUGGCAAUAGUAGCCUCACGGUCCUUCCUGAACUGCCUGUUGACUUGCCAUUACAUCAUGGUUGUCAUGUUGUUUAGAGUAUCUUGGCUCAUUUGUGCUGUGGCUUCUUGCCGAAACACAGCCUCCUGUAUCUAGUUUAACCUUCUGGAACCAGACAUGGAACGUCUACUCGUGGUACUGCCAUGGGCUGAUUACCUAGCAUCACUUUCUUUUGACUCAAGUCCUUUUCGGAGAGCUGCUUGAUCUCUUUUCAUGGCAUAGCGUGGAUUCUGGCUAGAACUUCCAAUAUUCAUAUACUAGAGGAUUUUUCUAGAAAUAUAUGUAUUGAGAAGUCCCACUGGGCGUGCCAAAUUGUUCAUCCGUUUUAGAUUUGUUCCUGUGAUGGUAGGGUAAAGUUCCUCAUUGACUUGAAAACCAUUGGUGGUCAAUAAGUCAACUUUCUUUUGUGUACAAAUGUGCCACUGCUAGCAAUAAAAACCCUAGCAGACUUCUUAAAAAUAGAAAACUUGUGCCCAAGUUAUUAACUUCUAAAUAAGCGAUUGUGAAUUUGGGCGAGGAAUAUCUCCCAAGUAAGUUCUUUUCUUUGCCUCAGAUUGGUGAGGACUUCACAAUUUUUCACAGUACAAAACUGGUAGUUCUAGCUAGAAUAAAUGAUAAGAAAGUGAACUGUUUUCAGGCAGAACUACCUUUUACAAAGCUUAAAAAGGAAGACCAACUCUAAAAAGACAAAAAGAGCUUUUGGACUUCAAUUUCUGCUUGGAUAAAUGCUUCUGAUCCGGGCUGGACUGGGUAUGUUUGUGCUGGACUGGACUAUCAACACCUUCAACUGUCAAGUUUUAGCUGUCAAUGAAUACCAAUGUUCGAGUGUGGCAAAGCUUCAAUCUAUUUCAAGCCGUGCAAGGCUUUUUGAACGGACAGAAUUGGAACCUCUUCAGUCUGGAAGGGGUAGAAGUGGCUGAAUUUGGUGAUUACUGAGCUGGAACUGCACUGUAGUACCUGUUCUGCUUGAUCAGGGCUCUCCAUAAAUUUGUUGAGGUUUUAAUAUUGGUAAAACCCGAAGCUUAUGUUGAACCAACUUUGUAACGAGAGAAAUCUUGCUUUGAAUGACUAUUUCUCUGAAACUAAACAGAAGUUAGAGAUUCUGGAAUAUAGCUGACUUGUUUCUUAUGGCUCAAUGAGCUUUUGGUUGCUUCAGUGUUUUGAAGGCUUUUGAGAUCAAGUGAUCAUUUUGAGUUUUUAUUUUUGAUUGAUUUUUUGGCUGUCCUUUUAUCUGUUCACCUCAUCUCAUAUUUAUAGAAUAUACUGGAGUGUGAUUUCUAAUCUUUUAAUAAUGGGCGGCAAAUCUUUUAAAAGAUCUUUUUUUCUUUUUUCAAUGUCAUAAGAGAAGGAAGCUACUAUUCUGACAGAGAAAGGUUGUCAACAAUCAUCUUUCAAUUUUUCUAUGUUCACUUUUUGUUCUUUGUAAAGAGAAAGAACACAAUCUACCAUGAUGGUCAGUGUGCUUUUCCUGUUGAACAACUCCCUCGUUCUCUACUUAUCUCUUGAAAACGUAGUCUGCUUAUCUCUUGGAAAGACCACCUGAUUUGGUGCAGAGCUUCUCUAUAUAUAUAUAUAUAUAAAGGGAUUUUGAUCUUCUUCUUUUGGCUGAAAAAAUAGAGAAGUCUUUCUGUAAGACCUGCCUUCAUUAAUUUUCUAUCAACUUCUCUGUAAUAGUUGAAAAUUUUGACUUUUCAAAGCCAGGUAUUCACGUGGGGUUGUUUAGAAAAGAUCUGUUGAUUUUGUCAAUCUUUUAGGGUAGAGAUUAAAUAGCGUAAAAAGGCUGGGCUAGUCUCUUUUUCUUAGUAGAUAAAAAGCCCAAAUAUUUUGUCUCACUGCCCUUUUCUGGAAAAUAAAUGGGCUGGGUGUGUUGGAAAUUGGCCCAAUCUUAAGAAAGACUCUGGUGGCUGCCCAAAAUUGACAUAGGCUUUUCUUGAUUUUGGGCUGGGCAUGCCAAAUUAGGCCCAAACAAUGCCCCUUAAGUCUGAAUUGUUUUUGGAAUAGUUUCAGACUUAAUGAUUUGGCCAUUAAUUUGUGCGCGCCAUUUCCUUCUGUUAGCCCACAUCUGCCACGUCUGCCUAUUAUGAUCAAGACUUCGUGGGAAAGUGGGCAGUUACUAGCUAGUUAUUAUCAGGUGGCGUCUUGUCUUCUUCUUCCCACGAUUUCGAGUCUUUCUAAGAAAUUUAAAAAGACCUCAGCUCCUGUUUACUCAAAACCUAACUUCUUCAGACCUUGAUUUUCCUCAGUUUUCUCAGAAUUUUUACCCUUUUCUGCGAUCAAACCCUGCUUCCUUUCAGUUUGAUUCCCCUAUCCUAGCUCAAAACCCGAAAAUGUCUUCUCCAAAAAAUCGUGCCCAGACUUCUUCUUAUUCUGUUCCUCCUACCUACAUUACUGGGGCCGGUGUUGAUAAGCAUGUGAUUGAAGUCCGGAGCAAGCUUCAUCCUUUUGCCCAGAACGUUCUGGACAAGAACGUGUUACAUUUGUUCGAGAACACUCUUGUUUUGGAGCCUCAUCGGUUUGGUUCUGUCCCGACUGAAAUGGCAGAAUUGUUUAAAGAAUAUACUGAAGCUCCUCUAUGCUUUCAGAGCUCUUUCGUAGAUUUCAGUUUUAUAUAUAAACUAUCGUGUUUCUCCCUAUAACAUGUCGUUUUUAAGAAUUGUUGUCAAUGUUUUAUUUCCUGCUACUAUAAGACGGCGAUUAUUUAUACAUAUGAGACGUGUAAAUUAGAAUGAGACGUCAGUCUUUGGGAUUUAAAUUAAGUUUUUACGAUUUAAUGUCAUUUUAGUUCAUAUAAGGACAUAAAUGUCCUAACCAAAAAUAUAUUUAUGUACAUUGUCAAUAAAUUAAAAUAAACCUAAACAUUGUUAAAAUAAAUUAGAUCACUUAUUAUUCUGUAAUUACUUGUUAACGAAUUCAGCCCAUUCCAACCUGACUUCGUCAAUAUGUUCUUAUACAUACUGAACUGGUUCCUUUUUCUUAUCAAACUGCAAAUAAAUAACAAAAACCAACGUGUUAUAAAGAUUACAACGACUGCUUUUAAAGAAAAAGUUGUGGUACUAAAAUAAAGAAUUUAUAUCUUAAGUUUUGCCUUUUACCUUCUUCUCAAAUGCUAGGCCUGGAUCAUGAAUUAUAUCUCUCAUGAAAUGCAUCACGUAAUAGCCACACUCUACAUUUGUUGGUUGUCGAGGAGUGCCAUGUAGAUUUUUCCAUAUGACUGAUUUACAUGAUGAUUAAUUGCCUGUGUGAGAGUUAUACAUUUUGAUUGAACUGUUUCAAGAAAAUGAAAAGUGUUAAUGAUAAAAAUAAAAAUCUAAAGCAAAAAUAUUAAACGUCGUGGUAAAUAAGUGAAGACGAUGGUUUUGUUAAAAAAGUGAUGUUGUAUUUCAUUUCAAACGUUGGUAAAUAAAAACCGUCGUUGUGUAGAAUUCUAACGUCGGUGACGAUGAAAAAUGACGUAUAACCAAAAAUUGUUUGUAAAUGAAAGUUGAACAGAAAAAAAUAAAACUUCCUUAAAUGAAAAACACAAACGACGUGGUAUUUCAAUUAAAAUGACGGUUUACAGAAAAUACUGACGUUGUAAAUGAUUUCAAACAUCGGUUUGAAGUUACCAUCGUGUUUUCAUUGUAACGUCGGUAUUAGAAAAAGCCGUAUAUCAUUCAAAUGCAAAUAAAAAAAUGUUAGAUUUUCAUAGAUAAACUUACAUAUUCACUAUAUUUCUCAUGUCCUCGUCAACAACGCGGUUUGGCAAUGAAUCCAUGUAAUAGAUAGUCUCCUUCGCUGGUCUCACAAUUAUUAACACCCAAUGACCCCUACACAUAAUGAUCCAUAUAGGUUAAAUAUACUAGAAAGAAAAAUAGGCAUCAAGUAUAGUUAAGGGGACUAACCUUGGAUUACAAGGCACCAUGUAAAAUUGAUCCCCAUUUGCGUUUUUCAGGCGGUCUGAGAGAUGUUUCAAACGGUAAGAUAACGUUCCAGAUUGAGAGCUGACUUGUCCAAGGUCCACGAAGCCAAUAAGGUUUACCAUAUUUUCUAUUUUUAAAUAGUCAAAUAGGCACCUAAAUAUAUGAAAUUCAAUUAAAUGAGAUUUUAACUUUAAAGAAAGGAAAUGUAUAAUGCAAUCACUGUGGAUCCAAUCUCAACCAUGGAAGGAAAUUGUAAAAUAUCUUCACACAAGAGGAAGGUAUCAUGGUUAAUGCCAAAGGCUUCCUCUGGAAUGUGAAUUCUAAUGGUCUCGUUAAUGGGCUUCAACUUGGUCUCGACAAAUUGAAAUAAGGCUAACAGAGGAGGUGGCAUGUCUAGCUUUGAGAGAUCCUGUUACAACAAAUAAAUAAAGAAAUAUAAGUUAGUUUGUACACUAAGUAAAAUAAACGACUCUAACUAAACCAAUCAAACCGACGUGGUAUAUAAUAUAAUCGACAGUUUCUAGAACAUACUGAAGGAGUAAAGGUUAUAGACGACGGUAAAGACAUAACCAUCGUUAUGUAAAUGUUCUAACGUCGCUGCAUUAUGGAAAGGUCGUCUAAUUAAAAUGCAGUGAAGCCUUUAUUGAAAUACACGACAGUUUAUAAAAUAAACACCGACGUAGUAAAAUACUGAGACGACGGUUAUCAGCAACGUCUAUUUGAAAUUAUAAAUCAGAAAAAAUCAAAUAUCAAAGAUUUUACCGUUUCAUCUUGCCAUUGUUUAGCAACAUCAGCAUCAUUCGUGGGAUUUUCUUCCUCCAAAACAAGGGGUCUCACAUUAGAGCAGCUUGCUUUGUCAGACAUUAGAUUUUUUGGAGUAAUUGGAGUUUUAUUGAGCAAGUUGGGAUCACAGUUGGGAAUUAGUUGACUGAAUUGUUUCAAUAAAAUUUCCCUCUCUGCUCUGACUGCCUCCAAAACAGUUUCUUUUGCCUUAGCUUUAAUCUUUUUGGUUUCUUCUCUCACUGCCUCCAUAACACUUUCCUUCAAUUUGUUAGCAAAUUUUACUCUCUGCUGUCUCGACAAAUUGAAGAAUUGAGUUGGGGAAACCCCAGCUCCAACACCUCUAACUCUCCCACCAUGCUCAGGGGUUCCCAAAGCCAAGGUCAAAAUAUCGUUGCUCUCAGAGACAGCAGAGUGCCCUCGGAAACUUGUUUUUUCAAAUCAUCCUAAAAGUGAGAGAGAGAGAGAGAGAAUGUUAGUGAGUGAACAGAUAGUAAAACAGAUUAAAUAAACAACUAUACAAAAAUAUUAACCGACGUGGUAAAGACUUUAAAAAACUGAAAUCAAUCCCCAAUAGUAACAGGGACCAUGCAGCAACGAUUUGGUUGACAGUAGUAUAGGUUGGAGAUGCUGUUGAUCAUUAGAUACUAUUUUUUUAAAUAUCAAUUCUGUAACAUCCAGACCUAAAAAAUUAAUGAUUUUGAUUUAAAAUUAAAUUUAAAUAAGCAAUUACGAAUUUACCCUUGGGGAAGGGGUAUUUUGGUAUUUUUUUUUUAUUCAGAAAGAGUUUGGGGCAGUGACUAGUAUUUUUGGGUAGAUCGUACUGAGACGAAUCCGUAGACACGCGGUAGGCCUGAAUCGGAGUUGUAACGAAGAAACGGUGACCAAAAUUAGUCCAGUGGCAAACUUGUAAAUAUUUUGAACUUGGGUGUAGAAAAAUCUGAAACUGGCUUCCUCUCUCCUGCGUGCACACGUCCUUCUCUCUCUCUCCUCUCUCUCUCCUCGAUACCAUCACUCUCUGUCUCUCUCUUCGAUUCUCUCAAUUCUGGCCACGGCAAGGGCCGGGACUGGUUCCGAUCAACUCCUCACAAAGCCCCGAACCAGAACCACCACUUUUCUUGGCCGGAAAGCUCGAGUUUCGCGUGGUAAUCUCGACUGGUUUGAACCAGUUUUCCUCCGUCAUUGUGCCGCCGCCAUCGCAGCCCAAUCUCGGUUAAACAAGUGAGGUUUCUUACUCUUUUUCCGAGCUCUAGCUGCCUGUUGGGUAGGAUUGGAUUGAUUUUUUGUCUAGGAUCCCGAUUUUGAAACCUAAGUUUUGACGAAUUUCAAAGUGAAAUUCCGGCCGGUUGCCGUCCUAAUUAGACCUCCCCGUAGUUGAAUAAAGUGAUCCUCGCUUCGAGUAGUAGCUAAGGUAGGAAUGGUGAAUUGCGGUGUGGAGUUUUUCCAUCACUGAAAAUUACUCUACACAUCCACGCGUUGCCAGGGCAUGUGGAGGCGCAUGGGCAAUGUGGUGAGACCACAUUUUAUCCUGAUGUAGUCUCCUAGUCCUCACGUGCGCGUAAGUGUGCUCGAAUUUCAAUUCGAAUGUUGUUUGACUAUCGAACGGAUUUAUGCAUAUUGUUUCUUAUCCGGGUUCAAUAUGUUCGGACCAUUGGAUCGAGUCCAAAUUUACGUAUGUUAAUCUAGGCACCCCUAGGAUCAUGUGCGAAUUCGCGGAUCGUGAAUCGGAGCCCCGAAUGUUCCGAUUCAAUAAUUUGAAGUUUAUGGUUUGCGAUAACCGUCAAUUUCUGACCAAACCUACAGGACGUGUUUCCUAAACCCGUAGUCGGACCUUAGAAUACUCGUUAUGCGUGCACGCACCGGGAACUUGAGAAAAUUAGUAUUUAAUUUGUAAAUUCCGUUUUGAAGUGAUUUUUUAUUAAUUAAGGGUGCGUAUCUCGAAAUAGGUGCUCCAUCACUAGCACGCAGCAGGUAGGACCCUCUUGAGGUCAGGCAGUGUGGGACUACUUGUGAGUGGACAUUUAUUUUAUAUAUGCAUUAUUUUCAAUGAUUGAAAGAAUAUGCAUGAAAUAUAUAUAUUUUUUGGAAUAAAGAUUGAGAAAUUCAUAUGUUGUUAUAUCAGUAUUAUUUAAUUUAGAAUUUGGUUUGAUUUGAUGAUGAGUUAUAUAAAGGUCAAGUUAUUCGUGAUUAAGUCUUGGAUGAAUUUUGGGGGAAUCGGGAAUUGAAUAUUAUGGUUUAUGGUGGGAACUUAUAUGAUUACACUGUGUGGAGUACCAUCCCCUAGUUACUAGGCUUCCCACAUGUGGCGUUGGAAAUUUUCCAGCGUGUGAUGAUGUAGUCUGCACGCAUAGGACUUAGUAUUGGAGCUACACGUGGCGUUGGAAUUUCCGGCAUGUAAGCUAUGGAGUUUCGUCCCCCGGUUGGACCGCUCAUCCCUAGACGCAGGAUAGCAACUGAAAAUCUUGCGGGUUAGCCAAACAAUCCCCCGGUUGGAUUGUUUCCCCGGUACCUAAGUAGUGUGAUAAAUAUUAUGUAUAUUUAUAGAUAUAUAUAUUUCUAUGUGUGUGUGUGUGUGUGUGUGUGUGUGUGUGUGAGUAUAAAUCAGUUAAAGUAUAUGUAGUGGUUGGGUAAGAGCAGUAUAAAUUUUGGGGAUAAAGUUUAUGGAUAGAGUGAUUGAUCUCAAAGGGUUUCGGAGAAUGAUGUUUUUGAUCAUUAAAUAAAAGUUAUGAAUCUGCAUGUCUUGAGCAUUAUUUUUAGACGGUGGGGUUAUUAUGUUGUUUUGAAUGCAAAUUUUGUUUUUCCACUCACAUGUUUUCUGUUUUGCGCCCCCCAAACAGUAGUCGCUCAAGGGAGAGUUGCAAGCCAUGUUCGAGGCCCCGAACUGUGAACAUCAGUAGAUUAGGUUUCGAGUAAUUUCUUUCUACUCAACUGGAUGUUCUUGUAAACUAAAUUCGUUAGAUGCUCUAUUAUUGCCCCUGUUAGGUUUUACUUGUGAGGCCAGAGGCCAUUUAGUUUAUACUGUUGAAUAAUAAAUGCAUGCUGCUGGUUGGGAUUAUAUUGUGCUUAUGCAGGUUGAAAUUUUUGGGAUUGUUCAAUUUACAUGGGAGACUCUAGCAAAAUUUUAGUAGAGAGUCUCGGUUUUUAAUAAGUGGGCCAGGCAUCGGGGUAAUGUCGGAAAUAAGACUGGAUUCGUCCCGGUUUCCGAAGAAUUCGAGGCGGGUCCUGUCAAGUUCCUCCUAUUAACAAUAAUAAAUUAAAUAUUUAUAUAACUGAUAACAGUUCCUCAUAUUAACAAUAAUAAAUUAGUAUUUUGUAUAAUAAACAUGUUUAAUGAAAUUCAUCUUCUUCUAGCAUGUUUAUUUAAAUUCUAAGUUUUCUGAAGAAAAAAAAAAAAAAAAAGGAGAAGGAAAUGUCCUAAAUUAAAUCUUAAAAGUUCAUUUUUUUCUGUCCCUAUAUAUUUUUUACCCAAUUAUAAUUUGAGAAAAAAAGGUGAAUUAACUGUCAUUUCACCUUCAUCAUUUUCAUGAUUUAUAUAAGAUUCUUCAAAGAUCAUUUCCACAAAAAAUUACUUAAAUUCGAAUCCAUUUAACCGUCUAAUUAAAUCGUUAGGACCGUUGAAAUAAAAUUUAAAGUGAGUUUAAAGUGAGUCCUACUAUGUCUCCCUCAAAUAAGAUCAUUUACAGGAUCUGUCGAGUCAUAUGAGAAUGUUUAGCUUUUCGAUCCCAAGAGUUUGGUUCGAUUUUCAUAUAUAUAUAUAUAUAUAUAUAUAUAUAUACAAGUCAAUUUACUUUAAAAAGUUCACCAAAUUUUAUUUUUGGUCUCGGUAGUUUGCUUGAGGGCCUUUUUCUGUCAAUCUAUUUGUUGUGAUUGAAAGAUUUUAUAUAAAACAAAAGAUAUGUUUUUAUCUUAAAAAAUGCUUAUUUUCAGAUCUUUACAUAUAGACAUACAUAUGGCCUGAGAAUUCAAGCAAUAAAGACAUAAGCUGAUGAGCAUUCAUAAUCAUUAGAAUGAGUACUGAAUGGUCAACUCUUUCAAAAUACUUCGGAAAAAAACAAAGGACAAUACUUCCUUCCUUACUCAUAAGAAGGAACUCCUUCUCACCUUCUAUUGUCCCUCAACCACAAAGUAACAAGUGUUCUCUUUUUUUAAUUGUCAAUUUUUUUUUUUUCACUUUUACUGAACCCCUAGCUUUUUACCAAAGCAAAAAACACAAAACAAUAUUCCCAUUGUUUUUUUUUUUCAUUUUGAUUUUUUUCUCAACUUUUUGAAAAAUAACAUUUUUCCUUCUUCAGUAAAAAAUUGAAGUCUUUGUGGUUAAAAGCUAAGGUUUCAGUAAAGGUUUAAAAUAAAUAAAAAGUUUUGACAAUUCAAAAAACAGAACACAUAUCACUUUGUGGUUGAGCCGCAAUAGAAAGUAAGAAAGAAUUCCACCUUACCCAUAAGGAGGGAAGUAUUGUCAAAAAGAAAACAUCUUAAAAAACACACAGAAAACCCACCAUCACUACUUAAAAGAAGUAGAGAAGUCCAACAUUCUGAUUUUUAUACACCUACGUGACGUGAGCAUUCAAUAAUCAUCCUACACAUAUGUUGAUGUGAGCAUUCAAAAUCAUUAGAAUGAUUUAAUUGAAGACUCAACGUACGGACGUCUUUUUCACUUAGAUUCCCUUCCUGUACAAACUUGAAUCAGUUCCUCCACGACCCCAUCAAUCUCUUCAUCCUCUUUCUUGUUCACGUUGUCGCUUAUUUUCAAUGCCUUUUUUCUCACUCCCUCUCCAAAUUUCUCCACAACCACAUCUCUAAUCACCUUUGCGACCUCUUCUCUUUGCAAACUUCCUUCACCUGUUCUCUUAACCUCCACACCAACACCCACCUCCUCCACUAGUCUAGCGUUGAUCGGCUGGUCAAGAUGCAUAGGCAUGGCUAUAAUUGGAACACCAAACUUGAUGCUCUCCAACACUGAGUUCCAUCCGCAGUGACUCACAAACCCCCCAACACUAGAAUGCUGCAGUAUCUUUGCCUGUGGGGCCCAACCCUCCAUUAUCACUCCCUUCUCUCCCACCCUCUGUAAAAACCCUUCUGGUAACACCUCUUCAACCCUAGUACUUCUCUCCUCCUUAGAAAAUCUUAUAACCCAAAUGAAGCUCACUUUGCUAAGCUCUAAUCCGUGAGCUAUCUCUUCUAUUUGCUCCUUGGACAGAAAGUACUCACUGCCAAAGCAAACAUACACAACAGAAGACCUUUCCAUUUUGUUCAGCCAUUUCAUGAUCCAUGUUUCCUCAUCAACUUUUUGAUCCAUUGGCUCUUGAACAAGCGUGCCAACAGGCACGAUCUUCUUCCCCGUUAAAUCAGAGAGAUAAUCAAUAUAUUUUUCUUCAAUCUCGCUGGAUGUCUUGACCAAAAUGAUGUUACAAGAUCGAGCACUGCAUUGCUGAACACGGUCUCCGUCUUUGAUGCCAUUUGCUGAAGAUUCCAACAAAUUGUUGAACUUUUCAGCUUCGUAAUGUUGAAGAUAAAUCGAAGGAAAAGGAAACUUGACACUAGGGUUCUUGAGAUGUUGAAUACUAAAUGAAGUAAAGGCAGCACCCAUGGUGGUGAAUUCAAUGGAUGGAAAAUUUUGCAAUGAAGCUAGAGAGGGCGCCCAUGGUUGAAGAACAUCAUAUAUGAGCAAAUCUGGACUUAGGGUUUUGAGGAUGUUGGAGAAGUUGUUGCUGGACAUGCUGAAAGCCGUUUUGAGAGUGGACAUGAGAUGGGGAGGGAGGCCAUUGGUGGUGUGGUAGUGCGGUGGGAGUUCAGGCAAGUCAUCAUGUGGAAGAUGGAGUUCCACAAAUUCAAUGCAAUGAGAAUAUUUUUGGGAGAGUUUAGGCUUGAUGGAGCUGAGAUUUACAGGCGUGGAACAAAUAAAGAUGUGAAAAUUUCUCUUGGUGGUCAGCUUCUUGGCUAGCUCUAGGUAGGGAGAUAUAUGGCCGUGAGCUAGCCAUGGAAGCAAAAGAAUAGUAAGGCUUCUUUGGUCAGAGAAAACCAUAUUUUGUUUUCCUUUGACUUGUUUUCCUUUGACUCUUUUGCUUGAGGUUGCUCGAUUAUAGGCUUAUUGGUAGUUUGUUUGUGGCUAGCUCUAUGCAUAUAUAUAUAUAUAUAUAUAUAUAUAUAUAUAUAUAUAUACACACACAAAAACGCGUGAUGAUUGGAACAUGCACACGUAAGUUCCAGAGAGUGAUGAUUGGCCUAUGAUAAAGACUCGAAACAAGAAUAGUUUAAAUUUUCUUCUUUGUUUGGCUUGAUAUAAGACGAAUGCACCAAACAAACCGACUAAAUGCCGACACAAUAAUUAGGUACGUAAUAAUAUCAACUUUCAUUAUAUAGAUCUGAGAAACAAAAAGUUGAACUUUGAUGACAAGCGAUAUUAAGGAAGGGCACAAUCGAACUUAGGAUCUCGAAUGUUGAAGUACAUG
rnacentral:lncRNA from 1 species